rnacentral:lncRNA from 1 species
GUAAAUGUUACUGAUUGACUGAAAGACAUCCUAUUAUGAGGCCAUUAUUACUGGAGUUUGCAGGUUUCUUUUCCUAAUUUUAAAAUGCCUUUUUCAUUUUAGAUAACCCCAGGUAACUGUCUCACCACAUCAGUCUAUUGAUUCUCACUGCACGGAGUGAAGAAGAAACCACCAGAUCAGGUGAUUGGGGAACAGAUGGUGUUUGGUUACAUGGGCCCGUCUUCUUCAGGCCUGCUGCAGUUUUCUGGAUGCCCAUCCCAGACCCCAUUUGCCUGGGUAUUACCAGUAAAGGCUGUAGAAUAGCAAAGACUGCUACUUGCUCCUUCCUCUGGAAGCCUCAU